GGGCUAAUGGUCUAGUGGUAUGAUUUUCCGUUCGCAUGUUUACACGUCCAUUCGGAAAGGUCCCGCGUUCAAUCCGCGGUUAGUCCA
rnacentral:tRNA from 2 species